AUGCAAAUCCUAGAAGGGGUCCGAAAUAUUCCCGUACAUGGUAUAUACAUUAAUACAAUUGUACCGCGGCUCGUACGUCCUUGGUAAACUGUGAUUCUCUGUAUACUGAAUUUGACUAAAGAUAGCACCCUCACUUAUAAAAGAUUCUUGAACUUACGUUGUAAUGUGAAUUAGUUUAAAUACAUUCUCUUUUAUAGUGUUGGUGAACUGUGUUAAGCACUGGCAGCAUAAUCAAUAAGUGGUGUUCACAUAUAAUUAAUUAUAUAGAUUAAUUAUCCAUAUUAUUUAACCAAUUAAAGAAAAUAAUACUAUUUAUAGACAUUCAGAAUGAUUAAGUGAUUAAUAUAAAAAUAAAAGGUUUUCUGUUUAAUUAAAACUAUACAGCCUAGUACCUUUCAAAGCCAAUAAAAACAUGUUUGACCUCAAUACUUUUUAAUUAUAAUUAAUAAAUAAUAGUUUCAUUCUGUUGGAUAAAUUUAUGAAUGGAUACAAAAAAAAUCCACAAUACCUGCAAAGGAAGCCACCAUAAAACCCAAAUUAGAUUUAUUUAAUAAAAAUUACUUUAACUAGUUUAGAUUAGAUAACUUCUUUGCUUGACAGAUUUUCAAAUUUUAAAGGAUGGGAAGAAAUAUUUGAAUACAUAUAUGUAUGAUUCUGAUGGUGAAUUAAAUGAUAACUACAUGUACCUUAACUAUUUACAUGAAUAAUUAAAUGAUUUUGAUGAAUAGGCCUAUACAUAUAUUUAUAGGAUGAAAUUAUUAAUAGCCAAGCAUGUAGUUUUAUUUUGAUUCAGAAAUUUAAUUGUGAGAGAUUAACACACACAUAAAUAUAACUACAAGAACUUACAGAUACGGUCAAAAUGUACUGUAUGCUUAAUAUACUAAUUCAGCUAAAUAUGCAGAAAAUAGUAGAUAUACAGGAUUGCAUAUGCCAUGUAAAAAAGUGAUAUAAAAUUUUUUUUUUCAUCUUUAUUUCAGUAGGUCCAUGUAUAGAAACAGAGAGAUCCAAAGACGCAUUGUUUCCCUGCGAAGACAGUUCACUUAUUGUAGAGUUUCCAGAUACUGAAAUCCAUUUUAUUGAUGGUAAGAUUUUAGUCAAAUUUUAUGAUUUUUUUGUGCAAUAAUGCAUUAUGUACCAUGAUGGACAUAUUGGAUUUGGUUAUCAUUAUAUACAUGUAUACCCCCCACAAAGGAAGUUUGUUCAAUUAUAUAUGAAUCAGCCUGUCCAUAUGUCUGUCGGUCGGUCCAUAUAGGGAAAACAAAUGAUAUUUAUUUUAGGCCCUAUGUGGAAUGUGAUUACUUGAGGCAUUCUGUUUCAGGUCUUGUUAAAUUUUUGAUGAAGGUACAGUUAUGAGCCAUCUUAUAAGGAUUUUGACCCCAAUUUCAUGGUUUUUGUUGAGCCUGUUACUUUUUUUGCAGAAAGCUCGACAUAGGGAUAGUGAUCCUACGGCGACGGUUCAGUGACCACUUGAAAAAAAAGUUAAAAACAAUUUUGUAAUGUUGAAUUCUCUCUGAUUAUAGUAAUAGGAUAACUAUAUUUGGUAUGUGCGUACCUAGCAAGGUCCUCGUGGCAGUCAGACAGUUUUCACUUGACGUCAACCUGAUUUCAUGGAUCAGCGAACAAGGUUAAGUUGGGGUGGUCAAGUCUAUAUCUCAGAUAUUGUAAGCAAUAGGGCAAAUUGGAAAGUCUGUAAUGUGUACAUGUCCAACUGACAGGUGUCAUAUGACCUUGACCUCAGUUUCAUGGUUCAGUGGUUAAAGUAAAGUUUGUGAGUUUUGGUCUUUUUAUCUAAUACUUUAUGCCAUAGGUGAACUAUAUUUGGUGUAUGGAAAUAUUUUAUGAUCUAUAUGUCAGUUGCGCAGGUUUUAUUUGACCUUGCUCUCAUGUUCACGAUUCAUUGCUCAGUGUUAAGUUUUUGUGUUUUGGUCUAUUUUUCAUAAACUAUAAGUAAUUGGUCAACUAUAUUUGUUGUUUGGAGGCAUUGUUAGCUGUAAAUGUCUCGCCAGGCAUGUUUUAUCUGACCUUGACCUAAUUUUCAGGGUUCAUUGGCCUUUGUUUAGUUAUCUCUUUGGUUAUCUUGGUUAAUGUUAAGUUUAUGUGACAGUUGUAAUGAAGCUUUAUACUUAGGACUGUCAACAUGAUAUCAAUGGUUAGUAAAGAAGGCGAGACAUUUCAGCAUGAUCACUCUUGUUUUAAAUAUGAAAAUAACACUUUUCUUUUUCAUUCUUAUUCAAAAUUUAUUCAUAGGAAAUGGUUUUCAUAUAAAAAGAAAAAGGAAUAUGUGGUACGAGUGUCAAUGAAACAACUAUCCCUCCAAGUCGCAAUGUAUUGAAAGUUAGCAAUUAUCGGUCAAAAUUAGAGUUUCAACAUGGAGCCUUGACUAACAAAUAACAGCCUGUUAUAAAGGUCCCCAAAAUAACCAGUGGUUUUAAGUUCAAACUAGUGUUGUCAACGGUUAACCGGUUAAUCGGUCGAACGACCGAAUACCGAAUACCAAAAACGCUAACCGGUUAACCGGACUUUUUUUCAAUUUUUAUAGAUUUUAUAUAAAAAGGUUAGGUUUUACUUUAAAAGUGUCGUCGUGGUAAUUAAUUUGACUGUAAAUUGAUUGCUAUUGUUAUCCCAUCAACAUAAAAUUAAUUAAAAUUUGUCUCUCAGCUUGGGGCAGGAUCUUAAAGAAACAUAAUUAGUAAACUUGUUUUUUUAGCAGUAACUCUAAAUCAGUAAUGCGAUUAAAUUUUACGAUUUACUUCAUUAUUUCGUAUCUGAUCUAAUAUUGUGUAAACCUACAUCUAAAUGUGCAAAUUCCGUCGUGCAAGGCUUAGUCUUACUUCAAACGAAAUGCUAACUCAAAAAUUGUGAAAUGCAAACCAAUGUGAAUUUGCUCAAUGCAUACGUGAUAGUAAGAGUAACAUGCAAACAAAGUAAAGAAACAGGCCGUACGGUGACCUAUAGUUUGUUGAUUUCUGUGUAAUUUUGAUAUCUUGUGGAGAAUUGUCUCAUUGGCAAUCAUACCACAUCUUCUUUUUUAUAAUUAAUCACUCAAAAUGAAACAAUCCACACCAUUUUCGGAGACAACAAGUGAAAAAGAAAGAAUAAUCAUUUUAAAACAUAUUCAAUUCCACGACAUCAAGUAGUUUUUUUAUUUUAUUUUUCAAUCUGAAGUUGGUACAAACGCUAUAGUUGAUACGGUGUAGUUGCUUAUUAAAAGUCAAACUUCGCAAGAAUCCUCACAGACAAGCCUGAUAAUGCCAGAGGAAAAACUUCAAUUCUAAAAGCAUAAAUUUAUGACUUGGAUAACAGGUUGUCAAAUUGACAAUCAUACCACAUCUUAUAUCAAUGUGUAGGGUACUAUUGAUAAGGCUUGCAAGCACCAACUCAAACUACCGGUUAACCGGUUAAUCGGUCGAACGAUUAUCCGAGUAACCGGUUAGGCAAAAGUGUACAAUUUGACAACACAUGUUCUUGUUUUAAUUUUUUUUCUUUUUUUUUUUUUAGACAAAGACGAACAGUUCUGGGAAAUUCCUAAUUUUCAUGAUGAUACAGUUACAAGACAAGACAACAUGACCGAAAUGGUUGACAGUGAUGGUAUACUUGGGAAUGAGUUUUAUGUUGUUUUGGACCAUAUACACCGUUACCAAGCAGACAUCAAUUUAGAUGAAUUUGUACUUCAGAAAUCAAAAGAAAGGUUCUACAUGCUUAAAAAUGACUGUCAGCAAAAUUUGAAUGUGUACAGAACUUUUGAAAUGGUAAAAAUGUCACAGUAUUUAUAAGGUAUAUUGAGUUGUAUGAUACAGAUAAACUAACAGUGAAGACGUGCAUCACAAUUGAUGACAAUUUUCAAGCUAACAUAGUUGUUCAUGGAGUACAGUUACCAAAAAGUCAUGUUAUAUGGAACACACCUGGCCUACCAAUCAAGUAUUUAAAAAAACAUCAUGUUCAGAAGCUGCUCACAGCUGCAUCAUGCUACCAAGUUUGCAUUGGAAACCCAGAAUCAGAAUUCCAGAACAAUUUGCCCAUUGGUUACUAUGGUAAUAAACCUUCUUCAACUUCUGCAGGCUUUAGAGAAGAUGAUUUAGGUGCAUAUCACAAAGACUUCCACUACAACAGUACAAUAAGGUCAAGUUACUGCACUCUGUUGUCAGACAUACAAAGAUGUAAGAGAUGCCAAGCCUACCGUAAGAAUCUUCACAAAAAAAAGAAUCGUCUGAAGACAAAAGUUCCAACACCAGAAAAGAAUUGGUUGUCAUCACAUAAGGGAAAUAAAGUUAUGACAGAGAGUGAAAAGCUGACCAAAUUGAAACAACUAACAGCUCUAUCAACAGACUUGAAGACAAGGGUUAAAAACUUAGAGAAGAAAUUACAGCAUGCUAUACAAGUAAAUGGACUAAGUCUGUUGGAUUCAGAUAGUAAGGACUUCUCAACACUGAUGAAAAACCAAAGUGAAGAAAUAAAAAGGCAAUAUCCAGAUGACAGUAGCUACCAGCGUCUAUUCUGGGAGCAGCAAAUGAAAUUCAACCGAUUGAAAGACAAAAAAGGUAUGAGAUGGCACCCAAUGAUGAUAAAAUGGUGUCUUUAUCUGAAGAGCAAGUCAGCCUCAACCUAUGAUGCUUUACGACACUCGGGGUUUAUUAAUUUGCCAAGUGAGAGACUACUUUAUGAUUACAGUCACGUUAUAAAGCCAGGCGUUGGUUACAAUCCAAAUGUUAUGGAGGCGUUAGCAACCGAGAUCAAACAGAAGAACCUGACUGAGGAGUGGCAGCAGUAUGUUGGCAUCCUGCAUGACGAAAUUCGUAUCAAAGAAGACCUUGUUUAUGAUAAGCAUUCUGGAGAGCUGAUAGGUUUCGUGAACUUGGACCAGACCGGUAAUUCGAUACAAAAUAUUGAACAGUCACUAAAAGAAGAAGCACCUAAAAUGGCCAAAAAUGUUCUGGUGAUAAUGGUCCGUGGUAUUGCGAAUAACCUGAAAUUUCCCUUGGCCCAUUUCGCUACAACAGGGAUAACAGCAGACCAACUAUUUACCAUUUUGUGGGAAGCAGUUGAAAUUUUGGAACUUGAUGCAGGACUGAAAGUCUUAUUUAUAACAUCAGAUGGAGCAUCACCAAACAGAAGAUUUAUCCGUCUCCAUGCCAAUAACCAAAACGGCAUUGUUUACAGAUCUCUAAACCGAUAUGCAGAUGACGGAAGACACAUCUAUUUCAUUAGUGAUGCUCCACACUUACUAAAGACAGCCAGGAACUGCAUGAGCAACUCAUUUUCUCACAAGAAAUCCAGAAAUUUGUGGAAAAAUAAUAAAAACAUUUCUUGGAUGCACAUUGUUAACCUUUUCAAGGACCAUUGCUCCGGGGGAUUACGGUUGUGUCCAAAGUUGACAAAAAACCAUAUUGACAUUUCAUCUUUUGGGUGCAUGAAAGUGUCCCUAGCAGCACAAGUUUUGAGUUCAACAGUUGCUAAUGCUUUGGAAUUGGUGUACGGUCCAGAUACAAGUGAAACAGUCUGCUUUAUCAGACACAUGAACAAAUUCUUUGAUUGUUUGAACACCAGGAGUUUGUAUGAAGCCAGAAACACAAGGAACAAUAAUGUAGCACCAUACACUUCAGAAGAUGACGAAAGAUUACAGUACCUGUUAAACGAUUUCUUACAAUACUUUAGUGAGUGGAAAGCAAAUGUUAACAACCGAGCCGGCCAAUACUCCAAAUCAGAACUUUCAAAGAUGCAGCUUAGUUACCAAACAUUGCAGGGUCUAGAAAUAACUGUCAAAUCUGUUGUGGAAUGUGUAAAGUUUAUGUUAAACAAAGGAGCCCCUUAUGUUCUGACUGACCACUUCAAUCAAGAUCCUAUCGAACAAUAUUUUGGUAUUGUCAGGACAAGUGGUGGAUGUAACACUAAUCCAACUUUAGAACAGUUCAACCACUCGAUGGUUAAUAUAAGAGUUGCUGGCUCGCAAGCCCUUGCACCAUUUCGAGGCAACACAAGGCGUAAUAUUCAGCGUGAUUUUGCAUUAGAAAGUGAACCUUUGGCUAAGAAAAAAAGAUGAUUGACCACAAUAACUACUGUUCUUGUAUUAUCAAUAACUACAAUGUAUUCAUACUUGUACCACAGUUUUAUUUUAAGAUCAUUCAUAUAUAUAUAUGUACAUUGUAUAUUGUGAAUUUUUUCUUACCAUAUCAACACAUAUUAACAUUUGCAAAAU
rnacentral:sRNA from 1 species